rnacentral:rRNA from 1 species
UAGGGAAUCUUCGGCAAUGGGGGGAACCCUGACCGAGCAACGCCGCGUGAGUGAAGAAGGUUCUCGGAUCGUAAAGCUCUGUUGUUAAGGAAGAACGAGUGUGAGAAUGGAAAGUUCAUGCUGUGACGGUACUUAACCAGAAAGGGACGGCUAACUACGUGCCAGCAGCCGCGGUAAUACGUAGGUCCCGAGCGUUGUCCGGAUUUAUUGGGCGUAAAGCGAGCGCAGGCGGUUAGAAAAGUCUGAAGUGAAAGGCAGUGGCUCAACCAUUGUAGGCUUUGGAAACUGUUUAACUUGAGUGCAGAAGGGGAGAGUGGAAUUCCAUGUGUAGCGGUGAAAUGCGUAGAUAUAUGGAGGAACACCGGUGGCGAAAGCGGCUCUCUGGUCUGUAACUGACGCUGAGGCUCGAAAGCGUGGGUAGCAAACAGG